rnacentral:tRNA from 1 species
UGGGGAGUGGUGUAAUGGUCAGCAUCGGGGCCUUUGAAGCCCUUGGUGGCGGUUCGAGUCCGCCCUCCCCAG